CUGAAAUCUACGGCUGUUCCUUUCACACUUGUGCCAAAGGCAAACAAACAUAAUUCUCCCUGGCAGCUGGACGACAUUCCAAACAGCCACCACAUUAAUUCACUCACCUCCAUCAGCCUCCGCCUGCAACCUGCACAGCUUGCUGCCAGGAAGCCUGGCAAUAAAUUCCAACUCUAAAUACCAAACAAGGUAGAAAAUACCAUACAAUGCAUUAUUCCAAAGGACAAAAUGGGCUUGCUCGAUAGAGAUACUGAGCAACGGCUCUUCCACUGCCUUUUGGAGUUCUCCUUAUUGCCCUUGUGGAGACUGGCAGCUGCCACAGAAAAUGGAGGUUUGCACUGACAGUUAAAUUCUGGAAUAUUUACUCAAAAUUUGAGUAAAUUUUGUUAUUACAAUCAAUAGCUAGAUGUUUGAUUAAAACUAAAAUUUUGUAUAUUGAUGAUGUGCAAACUAAUAUUAACAACUAAAGUGAUGACAAGGGAUCAAGCCUGGAAUUGCUGUGUAUUCAACUGCUUCUGGAGAAGGGUGUUGUGGACACUGUGCUGCAGCUCUGCAACAUCUCUUAGUGAAACUUUUUAUUUUCUCUCCAACAAACUAUAUAUGAAAAUGAUGCAGUGCAAUGGAGCCAUCUGAAGUGACAUUACGGGCUGCAGGAGGAUCCCUGGAGAGACUGACACAUAGAUUGCCCUCAAAUAUCUGCUGAAGCAGCAGGAGUUCUACAUUCUUGUUGUAACAGGCAAGAAGAGACAGUGGUGUAGUGAAGCACUUAUCAAAAAAGCUGGAAAAGAGGAAUCCCUCUCUGCUUUCAACAGAGGAAAGGGAAACCUUGCUUCACUUCUGAAAAUACUUAUGGAAGAAAAUAAAAAUGUCAGCUCUAGUAAUAUCA
rnacentral:lncRNA from 1 species